rnacentral:rRNA from 1 species
UACGUAGGGUGCGAGCGUUGUCCGGAAUUACUGGGCGUAAAGAGCUCGUAGGUGGUUUGUCGCGUUGUCCGUGAAAACUCACAGCUCAACUGUGGGCGUGCGGGCGAUACGGGCAGACUGGAGUACUGCAGGGGAGACUGGAAUUCCUGGUGUAGCGGUGGAAUGCGCAGAUAUCAGGAGGAACACCGGUGGCGAAGGCGGGUCUCUGGGACGUUACUGACACUGAGGCGCGAAAGCGUGGGGAGCGAACAGG